rnacentral:rRNA from 1 species
UACGUAGGGUGCAGGCGUUAAUCGGAAUUACUGGGCGUAAAGCGUGCGCAGGCGGCUCCUUAAGUCAGAUGUGAAAUCCCCGGGCUUAACCUGGGAACUGCGUUUGAAACUGGGGAGCUGGAGUGUGGAAGAGGGGGGUGGAAUUCCAGGUGUAGCAGUGAAAUGCGUAGAGAUCUGGAGGAACACCGAUGGCGAAGGCAGCCCCCUGGGCUAACACUGACGCUCAUGCACGAAAGCGUGGGGAGCAAACAGG